rnacentral:lncRNA from 1 species
CAAAAGUCCUCAUCACAGAUAAUGGAAGGCAAUUCGACAAUCCCCAGUUCAAGAACUUCUGCGCCUGCAAUGGGAUUGAUCAUCGCUUGACCUCGGUCUCAUACCCACAAAGUAAUGGGUUAGCCGAAGUAACUAAUCGGAUCAUAUUGCAGGACUUCCGAACAAGGAUAGGGGACGCCAAAGGUGACUGGCCUGACAUGCUGCCUUCGAUACUAUGAGCAUAUAGGACUUCACACAAGACAACAACUAGUGAAACGCCAUUUAUGCUUGCUUUUGGACUUGAGGCUACCAUUCCCAUUGAGGUUAGCCUCCCCACAAUAAGAAAGCUCAAGACAAAUAAGGAGACACAAACUACCAAGCAUCUGGACUUACUUGAAGAGGUAAGGGAGGAAGCUUCCCUUAGGACUGUAAUUACCAAAACAGAACAGCAAAGCACUUCAACAAGAAGGUCAAGAACAGGAGAUUUAGAGCCGGCAAUCUUGUCCUAAGGAAAGCAAAAGCCACCGGGCACCAACUAGGGAAACUUGGGCCGACAUGGGAGGGACCCUACGAGGUCAUAAGAAAACUUAAAGGUGGAGCCUAUAGCCUCAGAGAUACAUCGGGGAAUCCACUUCCAAGGCCAUGGAACGCCAACAAUCUGAAAAUAUAUUACAAGUGAUUAGCUAUAGCUAUAAUUUUCCUUUAGGGCUUGCAUGCCCGCUUCAUGUUUUCUUAAUUUCAUUUUUACUUUUCGG